rnacentral:rRNA from 1 species
CAGUAGCCACGGGAAUACGUAGGUGGCAAGCGUUGUCCGGAAUUAUUGGGCGUAAAGGGCUCGCAGGCGGUUUCUUAAGUCUGAUGUGAAAGCCCCCGGCUCAACCGGGGAGGGUCAUUGGGAACUGGGAAACUUGAGUGCAGAAGAGGAGAGUGGAAUUCCACGUGUAGCGGUGAAAUGCGUAGAGAUGUGGAGGAACACCAGUGGCGAAGGCGACUCUCUGGUCUGUAACUGACGCUGAGGAGCGAAAGCGUGGGGAGCGAACAGGAUUAGAUACCCGUGUAGUCCCUGUCUCUUAUAC